UAGGGAAUCUUCGGCAAUGGGGGCAACCCUGACCGAGCAACGCCGCGUGAGUGAAGAAGGUUUUCGGAUCGUAAAGCUCCUGUUGUAAGAGAAGAACGAGUGUGAGAGUGGAAAGUUCACACUGUGACGGUAACUUACCAGAAAGGGACGGCUAACUACGUGCCAGCAGCCGCGGUAAUACGUAGGUCCCGAGCGUUAUCCGGAUUUAUUGGGCGUAAAGCGAGCGCAGGCGGUUAGAUAAGUCUGAAGUUAAAGGCUGUGGCUUAACCAUAGUACGCUUUGGAAACUGUUUAACUUGAGUGCAGAAGGGGAGAGUGGAAUUCCAUGUGUAGCGGUGAAAUGCGUAGAUAUAUGGAGGAACACCGGUGGCGAAAGCGGCUCUCUGGUCUGUAACUGACGCUGAGGCUCGAAAGCGUGGGGAGCAAACAGGAUUAGAUACCCUGGUAGUCCACGCCGUAAACGAUGAGUGCUAGGUGUUGGGUCCUUUCCGGGACUCAGUGCCGCAGCUAACGCAUUAAGCACUCCGCCUGGGGAGUACGACCGCAAGGUUG
rnacentral:rRNA from 1 species